rnacentral:rRNA from 1 species
AACGAACGCUGGCGGCAGGCUUAACACAUGCAAGUCGAGCGCCCCGCAAGGGGAGCGGCAGACGGGUGAGUAGCGCGUGGGAACAUACCCUUUCCUGCGGAAUAGCUCUGGGAAACUGGAAUUAAUACCGCAUACGCCCUACGGGGGAAAGAUUUAUCGGGGAAGGAUUGGCCCGCGUUGGAUUAGCUAGUUGGGGGGGUAAAGGCCUACCAAGGCGACGAUCCAUAGCUGGUCUGAGAGGAUGAUCAGCCACAUUGGGACUGAGACACGGCCCAAACUCCUACGGGAGGCAGCAGUGGGGAAUAUUGGACAAUGGGCGCAAGCCUGAUCCAGCCAUGCCGCGUGAGUGAUGAAGGCCUUAGGGUUGUAAAGCUCUUUCACCGGAGAAGAUAAUGACGGUAUCCGGAGAAGAAGCCCCGGCUAACUUCGUGCCAGCAGCCGCCGUAA